UGGGGAAUAUUGGACAAUGGGGGCAACCCUGAUCCAGCAAUUCUGUGUGCACGAUGAAGGUUUUCGGAUUGUAAAGUGCUUUCAGCAGGGAAGAAAAAAAUGACGGUACCUGCAGAAGAAGCGACGGCUAAAUACGUGCCAGCAGCCGCGGUAAUACGUAUGUCGCAGGCGUUAUCCGGAAUUAUUGGGCAUAAAGGGCAUCUAGGCGGCCAGAUAAGUCUGGGGUGAAAACUUGCGGCUCAACCGCAAGCCUGCCCUGGAAACUAUGUGGCUAGAGUACUGGAGAGGUGGACGGAACUGCACGAGUAGAGGUGAAAUUCGUAGAUAUGUGCAGGAAUGCCGAUGAUGAAGAUAGUUCACUGGACGGUAACUGACGCUGAAGUGCGAAAGCUAGGGGAGCAAACAGGAUUAGAUACCCUGGUAGUCCUAGCUGUAAACGAUGAUUACUGGGUGUGGGCAUGAAGAGUGUCCGUGCCGAAGCUAAUGCGAUAAGUAAUCCGCCUGGGGAGUACGGCCGCAAGGCUG
rnacentral:rRNA from 1 species